rnacentral:rRNA from 1 species
UGGGGAAUAUUGGACAAUGGGCGAAAGCCUGAUCCAGCCAUGCCGCGUGUGUGAAGAAGGUCUUCGGAUUGUAAAGCACUUUAAGUUGGGAGGAAGGGCAGUAAGCGAAUACCUUGCUGUUUUGACGUUACCGACAGAAUAAGCACCGGCUAACUCUGUGCCAGCAGCCGCGAUAAUACAGAGGGUGCAAGCGUUAAUCGGAAUUACUGGGCGUAAAGCGCGCGUAGGUGGUUCGUUAAGUUGAAUGUGAAAGCCCCGGGCUCAACCUGGGAACUGCAUCCAAAACUGGCGAGCUAGAGUAGGGCAGAGGGUGGUGGAAUUUCCUGUGUAGCGGUGAAAUGCGUAGAUAUAGGAAGGAACACCAGUGGCGAAGGCGACCACCUGGGCUCAUACUGACACUGGGGUGCGAAAGCGUGGGGAGCAAACAGG